rnacentral:rRNA from 1 species
UAGUAACGGCGAGUGAAGCGGGAAGAGCUCAAAUUUGAAAUCUCCGGGGGCAGCCCUGGCGAAUUGUAGUUUAAAGAAGCGUUUUCAGUGGUGGGCUGCGGGUCUAAGUUGCUUGGAACAGCACAUCAGAGAGGGUGAGAAUCCCGUUCUGGCCUGUGGUCUGCUGCAUUACGAUACGUUUUCGACGAGUCGGGUUGUUUGGGAAUGCAGCCCAAAAUGGGUGGUAAAUUUCAUCUAAGGCUAAAUAUUGGCACGAGACCGAUAGCGAACAAGUACCGUGAGGGAAAGAUGAAAAGUACUUUGAAAAGAGAGUCAAAAGAACGUGAAACCGUUAAAAGGGAAACGAUUGAAGCUAGCAGUGGGCUGUUGCCAAUCAGCCGUGGGUAUGUUGGGUGCGUGGGCAGUGGCAGCGCAAGCGUCACGUCUGUGUAGCCUGGUGUGUCUGCGGUGUACUUGGCGAUGGCCCGAGCCAACAUCGGUUGCUGGAGGCCAUGGGUUUCCUGGGGAAAGGUAGCUGGAGCGUGCGCUUGUCGUGCCUGCAGUGUUACAGUCCCUGGGGGUGAUGUGGCCGCGGCGACCGAGGCGGACGCAGUGCGUGCUCUUUAUUGGGCUACGGGCUCUUGUGCUGGGCUGGGACAUGUGCCGAGACUGCGUGCAGUGGCGGUGUGUGCCUCCUGGUCCACAGCGGGAAGUCUGAUAUACGCGCUUCGGAUGUUGGCGAAAUGGCUUUAACUGACCCGUCUUGAAACACGGACCAAGGAGUCUAACAUAUACGCGAGUCGCUCGGGUGGCAAACCACGGAGGCGAAAUGAAAGUAAAGGCGGGCUCGGCCUGCUGAGGUGAGAGCCGCCCCGCGAGGGGCGGUGCAUCAUCGACCGAUCUGGAUAUUCCUUGAAAGAUUUGAGUAAGAGCGUAUCUGUUGGGACCCGAAAGAUGGUGAACUAUGCCUGAAUAGGGUGAAGCCAGAGGAAACUCUGGUGGAGGCUCGUAGCGGUUCUGACGUGCAAAUCGAUCGUCGAAUUUGGGUAUAGGGGCGAAAGACUAAUCGAACCAUCUAGUAGCUGGUUCCCACCGAAGUUUCCCUCAGGAUAGCUGGAACUUUGACAGUUUUAUCAGGUAAAGCGAAUGAUUAGAGGCCUUGGGAGUUGAAACAACCUCAACCUAUUCUCAAACUUUAAAUAGGUAAGAAGUCCGACUUGCUUAAUUGAAGCCGGGCACUGAAUGUGAGUUCCAAGUGGGCCAUUUUUGGUAAGCAGAACUGGCGAUGCGGGAUGAACCGAACGCAGAGUUAAGGUGCCUAAAUCGACGCUCAUCAGAUCCCACAAAAGGUGUUGGUUGAUAUAGACAGCAGGACGGUGGCCAUGGAAGUCGGAAUCCGCUAAGGAGUGUGUAACAACUCACCUGCCGAAUCAACCAGCCCUGAAAAUGGAUGGCGCUUAAGCGUCGUACCUAUACUCUGCCGUUGGCGCAAAUGCGAGGUGCCAACGAGUAGGUGGGCGCGGGGGUUGUGACGAAGCCUUGGGCGUGAGCCCGGGUUGAACGGCCCCUGGUGCAGAUCUUGGUGAUAGUAGCAAAUAUUCAAAUGAGAGCUUUGAAGACUGAAGUGGAGAAGGGUUCCGUGUGAACAGCAGUUGGACACGGGUGAGUCGAUCCUAAGAGAUAGGGGAACUCCGUUUUAACGUGUGCGAUUUUUGUCGCGCCGCCUAUCGAAAGGGAAUCGGGUUAAUAUUCCCGAACCGGAACAUGGAUUUUUACUGCGGCAACGCAACCGAACUCGGAGACGCUGGCAGGAGCCCUGGGAAGAGUUCUCUUUUCUUUUUAACAGACCUACUGACCCUGAAAUCAGAUUGCCUGGAGCUAGGGUUAGAUGGCUGGUAAAGCAGCACGCCUUUGUUGCUGUCCGGUGCGCUCCUGACGGCCCGUGAAAAUCCGAGGGAGAGAAUGAUUCUCAUGUCCGGCCGUACCCAUAACCGCAGCAGGUCUCCAAGGUGAACAGCCUCUAGUUGAUAGAACAA